CCUACGGGGGGCUGCAGUGAGGAAUAUUGGUCAAUGGGCGGGAGCCUGAACCAGCCAUGCCGCGUGAAGGCGAGUGCCCUACGGGCGUUAAACUUCUUUUGUGCGGGAGCAAUAAGGGCCACGUGUAGCCCGAUGAGAGUACCGCACGAAUAAGCAUCAGCUAACUCCGUGCCAGCAGCCGCGGUAAUACGGAGGAUGCGAGCGUUAUCCGGAUUUAGUGGGUUUAAAGGGUGCGUAGGCGGCGCUUCAGGUCAGCGGUGAAAGACCGGGGCUCAACCCCGGGGCUGCCGUUGAAACCGGAGCGCUAGAAUGCCGAUGCCGUCGGAGGAAUGUGUGGUGUAGCGGUGAAAUGCAUAGAUAUCACACAGAACUCCGGUUGCGAAGGCAGCAUACCGGCGCUCAACUGACGCUCAUGCACGAAAGUGUGGGUAGCGAACAGGAUUAGAUACCCUAGUAGUC
rnacentral:rRNA from 1 species